GUGGGGAAUAUUGGACAAUGGGCGCAAGCCUGAUCCAGCCAUGCCGCGUGAGUGAUGAAGGCCUUCGGGUUGUAAAGCUCUUUAGUCCACGAAUAUAAUGACUGUAGUGGAAGAAUAAGCCCCGGCUAACUUCGUGCCAGCAGCCGCGGUAAUACGAAGGGGGCGAGCGUUAUUCGGAAUCACUGGGCGUAAAGCGUGCGUAGGCUGUUUUGUAAGUCAGAAGUGAAAGCUCAGGGCUUAACCCUGGAAUUGCUUUUGAAACUACAAGACUCGAAUUCGGGAGAGGAUAGCGGAAUUGUCAGUGUAGCAGUGAAAUGCGUAGAUAUUGACAGGAACACCAGUGGCGCAAGCGGCUAUCUGGACCGAUAUUGACGCUGAGGCACGAAAGCGUGGGGAGCAAACAGGAUUAGAUACCCUGGUAGUCC
rnacentral:rRNA from 1 species